rnacentral:rRNA from 1 species
UACAGAGGUCUCAAGCGUUGCUCGGAAUCACUGGGCGUAAAGGGCGCGUAGGCGGGAUGGCAAGUCAGUCGUGAAAUCUCUCGGCUCAACCGAGAAACGUCGGCUGAUACUGCCGUUCUUGAGGGAUGCAGAGGAGACUGGAAUUCCCGGUGUAGCGGUGAAAUGUGUAGAGAUCGGGAGGAACACCGGUGGCGAAGGCGGGUCUCUGGGCAUUUCCUGACGCUGAGGCGCGAAAGCGCGGGGAGCAAACGGG